UAUACAACAGCCAAUGCAGCUUACACGUAAUGUUGUUUUUCCGUGAAACCGUAUCACCUGGAUUUUCGCACACUCUUUAUUAUAUGAAGGGAAAACGAUGAAAAUCAGAUCGAGCAACGUGUACAUAAUUCAACUCUGGCUGCUUAGUAUCCAUUUUCUCAAAUAAGUUUGAUAGCUGACACUUUUAUCACCAGUUUAUUUUCGCACAAGCCAUGUGAGUGUUUUAAUAAAUGGGCAUUUGAAGAUGUUUAUGAACGUGUGGCAUACUACACCUUACACUAUUAGUUUUUAAAAACAUUUCUGAAUGACGUGUGACUUAAGCAUCAGAACCGACAAACGACAAAUACCACAAGUGUCUAAUCGAUAGAAAAUAUCCGAUCGCUCCCAAACCCGUGACCAAAGAACAGAAAAAGCCCGAAAUUGUUCUCGACAGUGCUUAACAAAGACUUUUUAAAGUAAUAUUUGGCGCACGCGUGAUUUUUGUGACAAAUAACCCAAAACAAGAAAGAAGAAAAAAGAACGAAGAAUGUGAUUGAAAAAAAAAAGAAUGUAGAUUGGUUCUUUAUACCCAAGUAUGCAAUGAUCAGGCGGUCGCAAGGUUUUGCUUUAAAAAGGCAGUUUCGCUAAACACUGUCACUAGUCACUUUGACAGUUUCCGGUUCUUUAUUCCCGACAACACUGAUGGUAUUAAAAUCGUCUUCGAAAAAACUAGAAAUUACUCUUUUGUGCAGCUGUCAACGGAAUUGAAAUGUUUUACUGUAGUGCAGUAAUUUUUCAAAACAACGGUUAUGAAUAUUUUCAAAAACAAAACCGAAGUACAAGAAAUACAGGAAUGGGAAAUGUUAUAUAAAAUAAGUGUAAAAAACAAAUAGGUGAAAGAUUAUAAUCAUUUUGACAGGCCCAUUUUUACAAUUUCCUAGGUGAAGGGUUAAUAAUGAUAACAAAAAAAUAUAUGUCAAUGUCACAAAUUAACAAGAUUAACAUGAAAAUUUUAAAUUAAUAUUUGUUUGUAUUAAAAUUUUAAAUUGUGUAGGUUAGACUACUUUUUCUAAAUUAUGUAGAAAAUUUUGUCACAUCAUUUUCUGAAAUAAGUGCCAGGGUAAACUUAUAAAAUGAAAAUAAAAAAUAAACUUAAGGGUUUUAGGUUUAAUUAGUUUAUUUUUGUAGAUAUACUUUGAGUAUGAUGUAGUAUUUGUAUAAGUGUGUUGUCUACUGAAUAAAUAUAUAGGCCACAGAGAAUAGUGCGAAACGCGUGUAUAAAUUUCUUCAAAUAUUAGUUAAAUUUUAGAAAGAAAUAUGGGCCAGCACUGUUUGACUUACGCCAAGCCAGCACAGUUUUCAAAUUGGUCAAGAUGGUCAAAUUUAGUGAAAAUUGACCUAAGCCUGAACUUAAUUUCAAACCGCACUCCUUUCCAAUUUCGCUAACUUGUGAAAUACAGAACCAGCAUCUUUGUUUUGUUUGUUGAUAAUAAUCGCGGGUUUAAUUUGUUCACUUCUUUGCAUUACUUCAUCGCGCGUUAUUAAAUAUGCAUUCUGUGUUUCAUCAAAAUAACAUCACGCCCCCGUGAAAUGCCCUUAUUACGUAAAUAAUCCCGUGUAUAUUACGAAUUAUGCUCUAAAUUCAGUGGAGGAUUUCCUGUCCCCAACGAAGUUUCUCUAACAAAACCUAAACGAAUUCCGAGAAAGUUUUGAAUUACGAGCGAGUUAUUGUAUGUGAAGGAGUGUCGUCGGGCUUUAGUUUCACAGCUUUAGUUGCGUAACUUAGACGAGACUGGUUUUGCGAACACCUAACUUCAAUUUAAGCAAUACCUUAUCGUGCGCCGGGAAAAAACUGCGUACGAGGUGGACAACUUCUAGAACUGUAUUUUGUUUUUAUAGUUCUUCAAAGGAAUUUCUUUCUUCUUUCUUUCGUUAUUUUUUUUAUCCCCUUAAAAUGAGAAAACAAGAUUUUUUAUACAUAGUUUUAUAGUACUAACAUUUCAUAAAAAUUGUUAAGUUCAUUGUGGUCAGAUCUCUUGAGUGUUAUAUAUUUGAUGAGGCGGCUCAAACCAAUUAUUAGUCUUGACAUAUUGGACUUUUUCAUUCGAAGCUAUCACAUGGAGUCACGGUAUUGGGUAACAGUACAACAAUCCGAGUAUUAGUUGGAGCGCGUUACAAAGAUCACUGCCAACCUAUUUUUUGCGAGUUUUAUAGAAUUAUACCUUUGUCGUGUCUGUACUUGCACUAUACUAUGUUAGAAAUCUAUACAAAGAAGUGAAGCUACUUUCCUCUUUAAAUCUACAUAAAUAUCACUUAAGAAAUUGUAACCAAGAAAUUCUUUAAUUUAAAUUAACUUACUCUAAGAAAAACUCUCUGGAUUUGUUGAUAAAAUAAAAGAUAUAUUAUUUAAGUAAGUUAGGAAGUAGGUAGAUAGGUAGUAAUUCAAUUUAAGCUAAACAAUUUCUUGUUAGAUAAGAAUACAUUUUUGGACACCUUGUAUAAGACGGAAAGUUUUUAUAAUAUAUUGUAAUGUAAUAUUGUAAUAUUGUAAAUUUCGCUAAAAUAACUUUAAUACUAUUUAGAAAUCUUCUAGAUUCCUCUUGCGUGGGUCAUUUUCUUAUUACAUUAAAUGGUUUUUAUUGAAUUGAAAUAAAAAAAAAACACUACAUUUUUGGAACUCAAAGAGCAAACUAUAAAAAUAUUAAAAUAUGAAUUUGUUUUUUAUCAAAGCUAAUUUAUUUAUUAUAUUUAAUAAACCAUCGACAUUCCCACAAUAUAUAUUGGCGUCUUUAAUCAUUAUUUGAUCAGUUUCACCAACUGUCAAUUUUUGCUGAAACGUAUUUUCAAUAAUAAAGGAAUUGGAAUAACGUCAUGUUUUUGUUUUGAAAUUGAUGAUAAUGAAUUUUCGAUUCAUUAAAGCAUAAAUUUAGGAGGUUCAAAAAAAUGCGUUAAUUUUAUUGUCAACAUGUUUUAAUUGGUAAUUAAUAUUUCCGGGUACAUUUGAUUGGAAAAUAACUUCGUCGCGUUUCGUGGGCGAACAGAGACGUCUGAAAUUAAAGUUUCCAUGAAGAAAAUAAAGACCGGCUCGAAGUUGUUGGACUUAAAAAAGGAUCGCUUGCAAUAACAUUAAUCAAACGACAGAGGAAAUAAAAGGCGAUUUACAAAAGGCGGGCUGGCCUGCUGGCAUGUCGAAAGGACAAAAGUUGGGAUGGAAAAACAAUCGCCGGCAGGUGUCCCUGAAAUAUGGCGAUAGCCUUCGCACGUGUGCCCCCUGAAAAAGUGCCAGGAUUUGCCAUUUUCUAAAUUAACGGAGAAACUCGGUAUGACUUCAUUUUUUACGAAUC